UUAAAUUAAUGUAUCUCCUACCUCAUGAUACUUCUAAGAAUUCUGUAUGCAAAUAAAAAUGUUCAUAGGUAUUAAAUUUAUAGAAAGUCAAACUUGAAAAGAAACUGGGGUUGAUGUGCAUAAUUUAUGUUUAAUUUGAAAUUGUAACAAAUUAUAAACUUUUAUUUGAUUGUACAUUGUGCUGAAUGUUGAUUGAAGUUCAUCUGUAUAGAUGAAACUUAUGUUUUGAAUAUUCAUUGAUUAAUAAACUUAAUAAGAGUAUAAUGC
rnacentral:lncRNA from 1 species